rnacentral:rRNA from 1 species
UUGAAAGGGAAACGAUUGAAGUAGUGUGGUGGGGAAAAAAAUUUAUGGGAGNNAUGUUGUGGGAGNUAAAAAGGAAGAUGUGUUAGAUGAGGGGGAGGAUUUGUGUCGUGGUUAAAUAAUUUGAAGUAUAAAAAGGUGGAGGGAUGUGGUUUUGGGAGUGUUAUAANUUUAGGGAAUGUGGUGUUGGGAUUGAGGAUUGAAGAAUAUUUUAGGGUGUUNANUGGUUUUUUGGUANNUGGUGAGAAGUUGUGAGUNGUUAGGAUUGUUUUGAAAGGUAGAGUGUGAGAAAUCGUUAAGGAUGUUGACGUA